CCUACGGGUGGCUGCAGUGAGGAAUAUUGGUCAAUGGGCGAGAGCCUGAACCAGCCAAGUCGCGUGAAGGAAGAAGGUUCUAUGGAUUGUAAACUUCUUUUGUAAGGGAAUAAAAAGUGGUACGUGUACCAUAUUGUAUGUACUUUACGAAUAAGGAUCGGCUAACUCCGUGCCAGCAGCCGCGGUAAUACGGAGGAUCCGAGCGUUAUCCGGAUUUAUUGGGUUUAAAGGGUAAGAAGGCGGAAGUGUAGAAAGUUUGCAGCUCAACUGUAAAAUUGCCAUUGAAACUGAUUUUCUUGAGUGUAAAUAAGGUAGGCGGAAUGUGUUGUGUAGCGGUGAAAUGCUUAGAUAUAACACAGAACACCAAUUGCGAAGGCAGCUUACUGGGAUACAACUGACGCUGAGGCACGAAAGCGUGGGGAUCAAACAGGAUUAGAUACCCCAGUAGUC
rnacentral:rRNA from 1 species